UAAAGUGUUGAAAUGCAUAGCUUAUUUGUUACAGCAGCUAGCCCAGCCUAAAGAACACAGGAGCCACUUGGAAAUUAGGAAAGUCCUGUUCUCCAGAUCACCCCUAUCUUCUCAGCAUAGAGACAUCCCCAAGGAAUUUUUUUUUAAAUCUGAGAAGCCAGCGUGGCCUCCUGCCUGCCACCUCUUGACGCUUACUUUAGAAGCAGUUGUGAUAGGUACAUUCCUGAGCUUGCCAGGACCAACCCUGCCUGUGCUUUUCCUGCAUGUCUAAAAAUUCUCCACCUGGAAUAACCAGCUGCAUGAGGUUCAUCAUCAACAGAAUAGAAGCUGAAUGUGUAACUUCACCAAUAGAGAAGAAAAAUAGGAUGAAACAAUACUUCAUAUGAAAGAAAGUAAGAAGGGAAAUGGAACAUAUAAGAGGUGCGCACUUGUGCCAGGUGGAGGUUCCCAGUCUAGCGGUCAAAUUGAAGAUUCAGUCAC